AGGCCUCCCUCCUUCAUGACCGGCUGGCCCAGAUACUGGAGCUCACCAUUCGCCCCCCUCCUAGCCCCUCGGGGACGCUCACCAUCACCGCUGGACACACCCACUACCAAUCCGUUCCGGUCUAUGAGAUGAAGUUUCCAGAUCUUUGUGUGUAUUAAAUGUCUUCUGGCCUCUGCUGGGCGUUUUUUUUGGCAUUAGAACACAUUGUGUAAAGCCCGAGAGGAGUUUGGAACUCUUGUCACCAUUUCUUUUCUUAAAUCUUAAUAGAGUUUUUGGAAAUGGCCUCGGACGUAGCACAGCGGGGCUGGGAUUGUGCCUGAAUCGUAGAGGAGUCUAGCUCACCUUGGCCACUCUUGAAGUUUGUCAUCAGCAGAUAUCACCACUAAUUUUCUUCUCAGCUCAGUGUAAAGAAACAUUCGUUUGCCAAAAUGCUUUCUUUCAGGGGUGGGACGCUUUUUAGAUCAGAUGUCAGUGGCCUGGUUGUUUCCUUCCACUGAAGUAGCAUUACUGUGCAAAAUGCUCCACUGGCUCGUUUCCUCUCCACCGUUUUGCAGCCUUAAUUGGUUUUUGUGAGUCCACGACACUCAAAGUCAGGCAAGGAGCAAGCAUUUGAUUCUCUCCAAUCCUAGGAGUCAGUCUGGACUUAACUAGACACACUGCUGGCGGGUUUAUGGGAUGCUUUGUUUUGGCUAGGAAAUGCCUGGCCGCGAGCACAAACUUGGCAAUUUUUAUGAAUGUCCGGAAGCACCUAGUUUACAGAUGCCCUGCUUUUUGGAGGAAAAAAAUUGUAUUUUUGCUAUGCCACUUUUAGGAUACAGAAGCACUGCACAGACUUCUAUAAUUAGUAUAGCAAGAGGGGGAUAACCUUUUAAAACGGAAAAUAGGUUUUUUUUACUAAUUCUCUGAGAAAGUGGACAAGAGAAGCUGGUUAUUCUAUGACACUCCUCUGUAGAACAGUGGGGGAAAAGCCUGCAGGAGGUUAUGAUUUCCAUUUCUGUCCCCCUCCUGGCAAAAGGCCUCAGACUUGCACUUGCUUCCGUUUCACUGCCACGUUUCCUUCUGAUGGGAGUCGGUCAGUCCACACAUUGUGCUCUUUCUGACCCAAGGAUGAAAUGUUGUCGGUGAGGUUGGAAAAGCACGGAGGCAGCUGGCAAACAAAAGCCGUUGGCAGGCGACGGUCUGACUUGCUGCUCGUUCGCACUCAUGCCAGGGGAAUCCUGACCUCCUAGGAUUCACGGUUCCGGCUACGGUCACGCAUGCCACUCCCAGUGCUGGCCGCCUCGUUUCAGGGCUGCGGGGCAAAGGAGGUGGGGAAACCCCACCGGGGGCUCUUCCGACACUGCUCCACAAUCUCCCUUGAAUCGGUUUGGUGUGGCAUUCAGCACCGGCUGGCUUCCUUGGUGCGUGCUCAGCUUUGCAAAUGUAUUUUCAUCACGUACCCAAGUCAGAGUUUAGUUGCUGAAAGGGGCAAGGGGUGGGGGGAGACGGGGGUGGGCUCGUCGGUGGGCAAAACUCUUUGAAAACACUGCAUUUGGGAAAAGGACGUGGCGUGCCGGCUCACGUGAGCAUUGUCUGCUGUGGAACGAGCUGCUUGCGCUGCUGCCUUGUGACGCGCCUUCCACGCGCAGGCCAGUAACCUCCCCUCCCCUUCUUUUCAGUUUGACAGCGCAAUCACAGCGGCUUCCAGUGGAUGAUGAAACGGCCUCUUUCGCGCCGCAGCCCCCUGUGAUUGCUGCUGCCGCUGCUCCACAUCCCACCCUGCUCAGCACCUCCCCCCCUCGGGCACCCUUUUUGGCUUCCACUUUUUGUUUGGGGAAGGUAAGAUGUCUUUGUGCCUGACCAGUGUCGUCCGAGUAGCUUUUUUUAUUUAAAGACACAAGCGAACCUGAGCUUGCUGCGCAUAGAAAGGAGGCCAUUCGCAUCGCUUUCGGUGUCACCGCUUUUGUACAAAGACCUCAGAAACAAAAGCCGGAGAAUGCUCUCUGCUUUGCACUUGUGCCUCCGUGGACGGUGCUGCCACCAUUGCUCACAUACAGCCAUCUCCCCACUCUGCAUGCAACAGGCGCAGCCCAUCGGUGUCCCAUUUGCUUUGAAGUCAUAGCUGAAUAUUCUGCUGUGGUGUUGCACACACAGUGGACUUGUCUGUUACCAGGGGUGAUUGUCUUAGUCAUCACAUAAGUUGUGGAGGGGGCCCUGUACGGGCACUGGAACUGCCGGAGCUGCCGUGCAAGGUUCAAAAUGUUCAUUCCACUGUGCCUCAUCUAGUCGUUGGAAAUCGAAGUGCUCUGUGCGGUACCCUGACGCAAGGGUAGCCAGACUGUUGGUGAGGACAGUCGUGUCGCUAACUUCAGAAUGGUUCCUUCGAAUGAAACUGUGACAGUGUGUUUGUGUGGGAGUGUGUGCGCGUAUGUGCUGGAGUGGAGGGGCAUGCACUCGGCCUGUUUCCUGUGACCACUGUGAUUCCAUUUUUGAGUGUUUUUGUCACUGGGAGUCUUGCUGGUGCUUGUUUGUAUUCCAGCUUUGUACCUGGGUAUUUCAGCUGAUCGGUUUAAAAGAAUGUAUAACUUUUGAAAGCAAUUGUAUUUUAAAGUCUAACACGGGGGAAAGUCAGCGAAUGACUUAAGAUGUCUAUUUUACUGAUGCUUAUAUAUAUUCUGCACUCUCUGUAAUUUGACUACAUGUAAGAACACUGUGCAAUCCAUUUGUAAGCAAUAAAAAUAAACCAAAUAGUGUGUA